UUCCCCUUUUUUUUUGUGUUUCUUUUUCUCCCUCCUCCUUUUUUCUUCUUGUCAUCGCGUUGAUCUAUCGGUUCGCUAUUUCCCUUUCAAUAUAUCAAAUUCGUUAUCGGUAAGCCCCUUAAAUUCUCUAUCAUCAAUUCUUCUGCCGUUUAAUUUCCCCCUUUUGCUCUUUCAAUUUUGACCGUCCUUAAUUUCUAGGGUUUCGUUUCUAAUCCCCUCUGUACCCUCCUAUUUUCGUUUCUAGCCAUCGUAUCUCUCGUUUACUUUGUUAUUCGUUAUCGAAUUGUCGUCGGAUCUUACUUCAUUCGUGUCUAGGGUUUGUGCUUGUUUUCUUCGAAUCUGAGAUUUGGGGAUUCGUUUUCGUAUUGGGUUUAGGGUUCUAUAAAAUACACAAAAAAAAGCUUCUGUUGGUAUUGGAGGGGAUUAGGUAUUUUUCUUAGUUGGAUUUAUAGUUUGUAUAUGGCGGCUGGUAGGCAUGGCGGCUAUCGUGACAACGAGUUUAGGGACCGUGAGUCGAAUUUGGAUGUUUCAAGGCGCGGUUUCGCGAAUUCGAAGGAAGAUUACGAUCGGGUUAGGAAUGGAGGCCGUGACGUUGUGAGGGGUGGGAGCAGGGAUGCAAGAGAUAGGAUUAGGGUUAGGCAGAAGGAUAUUAGGGAGAGAGAAGCUUCCAAUGGCGGUCACCGGUCAUCUUCUAGUAGGAGUGAUUCUGGCAGCAGCGGAGGUGGUGGUAGUGAUGGUGGCGGGCUUGGGCCCCGACGGUGUGGCUUUUCUGCCAAGACCAUGGAUAGGGAGCCUGGUGAACUUUCCAGUGAGAGUGGGUCUGAUGGUGCUAUUGAACCAGAGUCAAUGAUGAAAGACAGCGAGGUUGCGAAUGUUGAACAUAAUAGGACUCGAUCCCCGCCCCCACCAGAGAAGAAAAGGAAGUUUUCACCGAUUGUGUGGGAUCAGGAUGACAAGGAAGUGAGCGAGCCAUCUAAAACUAAAUCUAAGGUUUCCACUGCUCCAGUGACUGCUCUUCCACCUCCGCCUCCACUGCCAAAAUCAUUUGUGCGGUCACCUAAUGUUCCAUAUGGUGGAGUUGAGAUACAUCCUGUUAAAAAGAGUGAAACUAAGGAUGUUGAAUUACCGGAAGCUACUAGGGCCACUAUGCCUUCUCCAGGAUCGCAUUCCAUGUCUCCAAAACAGGCUUGGCAUAAUGAUCGUGAAGCUGAGCAACAAGAAGGUGAGGAUUAUGUUCCUAGUCAUAAUAUAUCAUCUUCGAGAUGGGCAGCUGUAGAUAACUCUCCCGGUGAUGAGGGUGAAAUCAUCGAUGAUGAAGAAUUGCCUAGGAGGAAGAGGAGGCUGUCUCCUGAGUUAUUGGAUACAAAACUACGGAACAAACUAUUAAGCCCAGUGGAAGCUAAAAAAGAAGGAUUUGAUGGUGGCAGAGCUAAAUCAUCUGAAUCUGAUGAACGAGGUAGCCAUGGGAGAACGUCCAGUGGGGAUGAUCAUCCCGGAACUGCGUCGGAGAAGGAUGACUACAUGGAGAUUGAUGCUCAAGGUGGAAAAAGUGAUACUAGUAUUAAUCAUUCUGAGACGGAUUCUGAGGACGAGGAUGAUAGGAGGGAGACUCCAGAACCUCCAGCGCCACCACAAAGAAUGGUCAACAUGCUUCAGGGUUGUAGAAGUGUUGAUGAGUUUGAGAGACUUAACAAGAUAGAUGAAGGAACUUACGGUGUUGUAUAUAGGGCCAGAGAUAAGAAGACUGGAGAAAUUGUAGCAUUGAAGAAAGUCAAGAUGGAGAAGGAAAGAGAAGGAUUCCCACUGACUUCACUUAGGGAAAUAAACAUUCUUCUUUCUUUCCACCACCCAUCCAUAGUUGAUGUUAAGGAAGUAGUGGUAGGGAGUAGCCUUGAUAGUAUUUUCAUGGUUAUGGAAUACAUGGAGCAUGAUCUUAAAGGUCUGAUGGAAGCAAUGAAGCAACCAUUUAGCCAGAGUGAAGUAAAGUGCUUAAUGAUCCAGCUUUUAGAAGGUGUUAAGUAUCUUCACGAUAAUUGGGUGCUUCAUAGGGAUUUAAAAACUUCUAACCUCCUUUUGAAUAAUAGAGGUGAACUAAAGAUAUGUGAUUUUGGUUUGGCUCGACAGUAUGGGAGUCCAUUGAAACCAUACACACAUCUCGUGGUUACUCUUUGGUACAGGGCACCUGAACUUCUUCUAGGGUCAAAACAAUAUUCAACAGCCAUUGACAUGUGGUCUCUAGGUUGUAUCAUGGCGGAACUUUUGUCCAAAGAACCACUAUUCAAUGGGAAAACAGAAUUUGAUCAGCUUGAUAAGAUUUUUAAGAUUCUUGGCACACCAAACGAAACAAUUUGGCCUGGGUUUUCAAAAUUACCUGGAGUCAAGGUCAAUUUUGUUAAGCACCAGUAUAACCUCCUGCGCAAAAAGUUUCCUGCCACUUCGUUCACUGGUUCCCCAGUCCUUUCUGAUGCUGGAUUUGAUUUGUUGAACAAGCUUCUUACUUAUGACCCUGAAAAGCGGAUCACGGCUGAAGCUGCUCUCAAUCAUGAAUGGUUCCAUGAAGUUCCUCUUCCCAAGAGCAAAGAAUUUAUGCCAACCUUUCCUGCUCAACAUGCUCAAGACAGGCGGAUGCGGAGAGUAUUAAAGAGUCCGGAUCCUUUAGAGGAGCAGCGCCGUAAGGAGUUGCAGCAGGGUGAAUCAGGCACAGGUGGAAUUUUUGGCUAGUAAUCGUGAACUCUAAACUUGUCACAACAAUCAUUCUAACUCACACCACUGAAAUGUUUGCAUGUAUGAGGUGAGAGUAUGAACUGAAAGGAAGUUGCAACCAUUGUUUGUUAGACGAUCACUUGUGCUGUUUUUUAGCAGGGAUUUGUUGGGUUGUGAAGAGAUUUAUUCAUUUUGCCAGAUUAAAUUCAGGUUAACCUUCAUGCUUGGUCAUUAUAUACAAAUGCAUCUGGGACGCUGCUUUCAGCUUAAGGCGGUUGGUGUGAAGUGGAUGAUGGCUUUCUGUGCAUUUCAUUGAAGAAAUUGACAGUGACUUAGUGCCUUAAAAGUAUCAAAGCAAGCAUGUUGAGGACGUUAGCAGUGUAUCCUAAAGUAUAAAACUCACUUAGUUGUUGCUUCAGGCUCUCUAGAGGUUACUUUUUACCCCUUAAAGCACUCAACAUCUGUAGCAGCUUCUGUGCAUUUGCUGUGGUAGAAUUAAAAUAUUUUAGUUUGAAUAUACAGGUGUUGUAGAUGUGUAAAAACCAAGUAACUUUUUAUUACCACCACCUUGAUCUUGUGGGUUUAACCUAAUAUGGGCUAAGCUGGGAGAGAUGGGUUUGCUUGGAGUUGCAAAGCAUCCACUUCCCACUCAACACCAUUAACUGGAUCCAAGAUUUAGUAAGCAAGAGCUGUGUAGCCUUUUGUUACUCUUCUUACCGUUGCCAUUAAGCAGAAUUAGACUGUCGAUAUUUGCUUUGCACAUUCUCCCGUGUGCUUUCCUGCAUCUGACUUUGAGAGUUGGGUUAGGAUAUAACCACGUUACUCGUCAAUCCAAAUAGCGGUGCCCUGAACAUUGCCAAAUUGUUGUGGUGGUGAUGAUGCUUGCAGAGGCUGUUCAGCAUAUCGAUGAGUUCUGUUGUCUCUUCUCUUAACUGCUUUAUCUGUGUUCAAUUUUCUAUUUCGGAGUCCAUGACGGUUUUAUGCUUUUUGCAUAUACUAUGCAUGUCAAUCGACGAAAGGAAGGGUGUCAACGAGCACACGUGUGGACUGAAGGAGCUAAUGAAUUAUGGGGAAGCACAAAUAAAGGGUGUAUUAAAAAAAAAAGGAGGAAAUGCAAAUAUUUGUAGAGUAACUGAAUUAUUUUAUCUUUUGAACACUUAUAGUUUUUGUUCCCCAACUCUAUACUCUAAGGUGCUGGCAUCUUUAACUGAGAUAUAAGAUAACACGAGCAAAUAGUCACUUUGACAAAA